rnacentral:rRNA from 1 species
CACAUGCAAGUCGAGGGGAACGACAUCGAAAGCUUGCUUUUGAUGGGCGUCGACCGGCGCACGGGUGAGUAACGCGUAUCCAACCUGCCCAUCACUUGGGGAUAACCUUGCGAAAGUAAGACUAAUACCCAAUGAUAUCUCUAGAAGACAUCUGAAAGAGAUUAAAGAUUUAUCGGUGAUGGAUGGGGAUGCGUCUGAUUAGCUUGUUGGCGGGGUAACGGCCCACCAAGGCUACGAUCAGUAGGGGUUCUGAGAGGAAGGUCCCCCACAUUGGAACUGAGACACGGUCCAAACUCCUACGGGAGGCAGCAGUGAGGAAUAUUGGUCAAUGGACGAGAGUCUGAACCAGCCAAGUAGCGUGCAGGAUGACGGCCCUAUGGGUUGUAAACUGCUUUUAUAAGGGAAUAAAGUGAGCCUCGUGAGGCUUUUUGCAUGUACCUUAUGAAUAAGGACCGGCUAAUUCCGUGCCAGCAGCCGCGGUAAUACGGAAGGUCCGGGCGUUAUCCGGAUUUAUUGGGUUUAAAGGGAGCGUAGGCCGGAGAUUAAGCGUGUUGUGAAAUGUAGAUGCUCAACAUCUGCACUGCAGCGCGAACUGGUUUCCUUGAGUACGCACAAAGUGGGCGGAAUUCGUGGUGUAGCGGUGAAAUGCUUAGAUAUCACGAAGAACUCCGAUUGCGAAGGCAGCUCACUGGAGCGCAACUGACGCUGAAGCUCGAAAGUGCGGGUAUCGAACAGGAUUAGAUACCCUGGUAGUCCGCACGGUAAACGAUGGAUGCCCGCUGUUGGUCUGAAUAGGUCAGCGGCCAAGCGAAAGCAUUAAGCAUCCCACCUGGGGAGUACGCCGGCAACGGUGAAACUCAAAGGAAUUGACGGGGGCCCGCACAAGCGGAGGAACAUGUGGUUUAAUUCGAUGAUACGCGAGGAACCUUACCCGGG